rnacentral:rRNA from 1 species
UGUCCAGGGGGCCGCCUUCGCCACCGGUAUUCCUCCAGAUCUCUACGCAUUUCACCGCUACACCUGGAAUUCUACCCCCCUCUACAAGACUCUAGCCUGCCAGUUUCGAAUGCAGUUCCCAGGUUGAGCCCGGGGAUUUCACAUCCGACUUGACAGACCGCCUGCGUGCGCUUUACGCCCAGUAAUUCCGAUUAACGCUUGCACCCUCCGUAUUACCGCGGCUGCUGGCACGGAGUUAGCCGGUGCUUCUUCUGCGAGUAACGUCAAUCACCAAGGUUAUUAACCUUAACGCCUUCCUCCUCGCUGAAAGUACUUUACAACCCGAAGGCCUUCUUCAUACACGCGGCAUGGCUGCAUCAGGCUUGCGCCCAUUGUGCAAUAUUCCCCACUGCUGCCUCCCGUAGGAGUCUGGACCGUGUCUCAGUUCCAGUGUGGCUGGUCAUCCUCUCAGACCAGCUAGGGAUCGUCGCCUAGGUGAGCCAUUACCCCACCUACUAGCUAAUCCCAUCUGGGCACAUCUGAUGGCAUGAGGCCCGAAGGUCCCCCACUUUGGUCUUGCGACGUUAUGCGGUAUUAGCUACCGUUUCCAGUAGUUAUCCCCCUCCAUCAGGCAGUUUCCCAGACAUUACUCACCCGUCCGCCGCUCGUCACCCGAGAGCAAGCUCUCUGUGUUACCGCUCGACUUGCAUGUGUUAGGCCUGCCGCCAGC